rnacentral:lncRNA from 1 species
GAGAAAGGUUCUUAAUAGAGGGAGGGGCUCCGCCCUCUACUCUCCAUUUUCUUGUUUUUUGUUUUUUAUUUUAUUUUAUUUUAUUAUUUAAUAGAUGUUAAUUUUUAAAUUAGGGUUAGGGUUUAUUUUGUGAAUUUCUUUGAAAUAAUAGAGAGAUAUGUGAUUUGAUUUUUUGGGUUUGGUAGUUUGAAGGAGAAGAAGUUUAAAAAAAUAGAAG